AUGGUGUCUCACGGUCUCACUCUCACCGCACACAUCACCACUUUCUCGGUCUCUCCAGUGAGAGUAGGUGCGGCUGACUCUCUCCACUCCUCACUUUCUUCCUCCUCCAGCCGCCUCCUCUGUAACUCGGCGCCUCCUCUGCAGCAGGCCGCAUCCUCUGCCGCCACGACGUCGCCCGGCGCCCCCACCCACCCACACCACCACCACCACCACCACCACCACGGCCUUGCCCCGUCUCCUCCUAUCCCCACCAGGGCCUCGCCCCGCCGCCCUUAUCCCCAGCACGGCCUCGCCCCGCUCCCUUCUCUCACCACCGCGGCCUUGCCACGCCGCCAACCCCGCGGAUCUUCCCUAGAUCGACUCUGCCGCCUCCAUCCUACUGCCCCAGAGGAGGUCGAGAUGCGGAGCAGGCAUAUCGAAUUGGAUUGA
rnacentral:rRNA from 1 species